rnacentral:rRNA from 1 species
GACGUAGGGCGCGAGCGUUGUCCGGAUUUAUUGGGCGUAAAGAGCUCGUAGGCGGUCUGUCGCGUCUGCUGUGAAAACUCAGGGCUUAACCCUGAGCUUGCAGUGGGUACGGGCAGACUAGAGUGCGGUAGGGGAGACUGGAAUUCCUGGUGUAGCGGUGAAAUGCGCAGAUAUCAGGAGGAACACCUGCGGCGAAGGCGGGUUGCUGGGCUGACACUGACGCUGAUGCGCGAAAGCCAGGGGAGCGAACGGG